UACGAAGGGGGGCUAGCGUUGCUCGGAAUUACUGGGCGUAAAGCGCACGUAGGGCGGAUCUUUAAGUCAGGGGUGAAAUCCUGGAGCUCAACUCCAGAACUGCCUUUGAUACUGAGGACCUUGAGUUCGGGAGAGGUGAGUGGAACUGCGAGUGUAGAGGUGAAAUUCGUAGAUAUUCGCAAGAACACCAGUGGCGAAGGCGGCUCACUGGCCCGAUACUGACGCUGAGGUGCGAAAGCGUGGGGAGCAAACAGG
rnacentral:rRNA from 1 species